UACGUAGGGUGCAAGCGUUGUCCGGAAUUAUUGGGCGUAAAGAGCUCGUAGGCGGUUCGUCACGUCGGCUGUGAAAACCUGAGGCUCAACCUCAGGCCUGCAGUCGAUACGGGCGGACUGGAGUACUGCAGGGGAGACUGGAAUUCCUGGUGUAGCGGUGAAAUGCGUAGAUAUCAGGAGGAACACCUAUGGCGAAAGCAGGUUUCUGGGCCAUCACUGACGCUGAGCUGCGAAAGCUAGGGGAGCAAACAGG
rnacentral:rRNA from 1 species